AGAAGGAGGAGGAGGACUGGUGAGACUGAAAAGUCUAAACUGGAAAACGUUAAAACUUUGUUUAACCCUGCACAACUAGCUUCCAGAGUGGAUAUCCGUGAGUCUGCGAAUUCGUAAAACUCACCAAGAUGUCUUAUUGUGAUUGGAGAGCUAGCUUGCGCAGCUAGUGGGUCCACGGCGAUGACUUCCGUUUUUUUUGAUCAGCCGUUUUACUGCCGUGUUACAGACACCGUUUGGAAACAAUUAAGUUCUCACGGCUUGCGCAAGAUUAUUUAUUGUCUGUUGGAAAAAAAGGAACAUUCGGUGUGGUACUUUGGACUGGAGGGAGUAACAGCCACCCUGACAUGAGCUCCAGAACUGGUGUGGUGCCAUCACGUCACAGGCAUGGACAAUGAAGAGUUUUACCUCGGAGUGGUGGUGGUUGUCAGGCGGUCAUCCACUUUGACAAGACUCUACCCUCCCGAAGCCACCCAGGGAGGGUUAGCCGACCUGAGAAGCAUCAGCGUCUCGGAGUUCAUCACAACGCCGGCCCAGCUCUAUCUCGGCCAUUUGUUCCUGCCACUCCGGCACAGACAGAAGUGCUCUUAAUCUCUGGGAGGGAGGCAGACCUUCUUGGCAUUCUUGCAGCCCAUCCAUCACCAGUCCACUCCCCACUGCAAGGAGAUCCGCCACGGCUACUCCCCGCCAGCGUGACCGACUGUCUGCCGUAUGUCACGUAUGGAUGCUCUCCUCAGGAAAAUCAUAUUGUUGAUGUGUCCAAACUACGGCCCGCGGGCCAAAUGCGGCUCGCCAACGUGGACAAAUUUUAAUAAGGAACCUUACUCACAGGGAGAUUGCAAUCAUUUCAGCAGUUUGACUAUUUUGAUGCAGGUGUUUUGUCGCCAUUUAGUGUACAACAUGAGUAAUGCAGGUCAAUGACUUGUAAUUAUGAGCUGAAUUAGAGUAUGCACUGCAUUUACUUAUGUGCAAACAACCUCUCCUAGUCAUGGUGCAGUCCAACCAACACAAAAUGGCAACAGACAUGGUCACACAAUACACAACCUGCUUAAGAGUUGUGUGGAUUUCCCUACUAACCUACUUUCAAAUCCAGAAAACAACAUACGGAAGAAAAAAUACAGAUGUAUCAAAGGGUGCGUACCCACAAAUCCACGCACAUUUAUUUGUUACAUCGAUAUCAACUAGGAAUU